AUCGCUUCUCGGCCUUUUGGCUAAGAUCAUAUGUGUAGUUUCUGUUCUUAUCAGCCUAAUAUCUGAUACGGGUUCCAUCGGAACCUGCGAUAUUAACGCUAUUUUUGUAACGCGACAGUGUGUACGAGGCUAGCCUCGCCACUGUCACGGGUUGUCUUGGCAUAGCACUGCAGCCAAGUACAGUCCACUAGAA